rnacentral:siRNA from 1 species
AGUGAGACACCUGAAGAGACCCAA